rnacentral:rRNA from 1 species
UACGGGGGGGGCAAGCGUUGUUCGGAAUUACUGGGCGUAAAGGGCUCGUAGGUGGCCAACUAAGUCGGACGUGAAAUCCCUCAGCUUAACUGGGGAACUGCGUCCGAUACUGGAUGGCUUGAGUUUGGGAGAGGGAUGCGGAAUUCCAGGUGUAGCGGUGAAAUGCGUAGAGAUCAGCAGGAACACCCGUGGCGAAGGCGGCCCCCUGGGCCGUACCUGACGCUGAGGCGCGAAGGCUAGGGGAGCGAACGGG